AUAAUUUGUGGUAGUGGGGGACUGCG
rnacentral:piRNA from 4 species